AUUCAUCUCCAUUCUUACAACACAAUCACAAAUUUGACGAUAACUAGCAGAGAAUGUAAGGAUUUGACGAUUACUCUCAUAUGAUAACCUCUAUACAGAUGAUUUCAGGCUCUCUGGAAAGGUAAGAUUCAAUUAUUAUUUUUCUGUAAACGUGAUUAUAAAAGGGUAAAGCCCUGUUCUUUUCAUUGUCGCUGCAUCAGCGAUCGGCGACCAAGAAUUAUAACUGAGUUGAGACACGUGUCUAUGGUGAGUAACACCGGCAACACCAUUAAAACAGUCGCAGCGACUCCUUUUCACCAUUCCAACUGUCGCUCAUUUUUCCAGCGACAACGGCGAUACCCGUGGAAGUGAUCGCAUCGACUCUUUUUUAAUUAUUCUCCAUUUAUGUGGAAAUUCUGGUCGCUUAAAGCUAUCGCAGCGAUUUUAAACCGAACAGGGCCUAAGCCGUUUUUCUAGAAAACGGUUCAAAUAGCUUGACAAAAUGCUAAUUGUGUAUCACACCUAUACUCGUGAUAAUUUAUAUAAAAAUAAUUUCAUUCAUAUGUUAAUAUAAAUGACAUGUUUACUUAGUCUAUAUCAAAAUUAUAGAACAAAUUUCGAGAAACAGAAGAAGAGAAGAAGCCAUGAAGCUAACUAGUACAGUCACAAAAGGACGACACCGUUUCGAAAUUGGGCCAGAGACAAAACUAAAC
rnacentral:sRNA from 1 species